rnacentral:rRNA from 1 species
CAAUAGCGUAUAUUAAAGUUGUUGCAGUUAAAAGGCUCGUAGUUGGAUUUCUGGUUGAAGCGACCGGUCGGGCGUUGAUUCGUCUGCACUGGAGUCGGUUUUGGCCAUCCUCUAGGAAAGUGCGUCUGGUAUUAAGUUAUCGGGCGUAUGAUCCUGGUCUUUUACUGUGAAAAAAUUAGAGUGUUUAAAGCAGGCCUUCGCCUUGAAUACAUUAGCAUGGAAUAAUAAGAUAGGACUUUGGUCUAUUUUGUUGGUUUGCAGACCGAAGUAAUGAUUAAUAGGGAUAGUUGGGGGUAUUUAUAUUCCGAUGUCAGAGGUGAAAUUCUUAGAUUUUCGGAAGAUAAACUUAUGCGAAAGCAUUUACCAAGGAUGUUUUCAUUA